UCCUACGGGGGGCAGCAGUGAGGAAUAUUGGUCAAUGGUCGGGAGACUGAACCAGCCAAGCCGCGUGAGGGAUGAAGGUACAGAGUAUCGUAAACCUCUUUUGUCAGGGAACAAAGGCGGGGACGUGUCCCCGGAUGAGUGUACCUGAAGAAAAAGCAUCGGCUAACUCCGUGCCAGCAGCCGCGGUAAUACGGAGGAUGCGAGCGUUAUCCGGAUUUAUUGGGUUUAAAGGGUGCGCAGGCGGUCUGUUAAGUCAGCGGUCAAAGCCCGGGGCUCAACCCCGGCUCGCCGUUGAAACUGGCAGU
rnacentral:rRNA from 1 species